AGAGUUUGAUCAUGGCUCAGGAUGAACGCUGGCGGCGUGCUUAACACAUGCAAGUCGAACGAACCUUCGGGUUAGUGGCGGACGGGUGAGUAACGCGUGAGAAUCUGCCCUCAGGAGGGGGAUAACGGUUGGAAACGGCCGCUAAUACCCCAUAUGCCGCGAGGUGAAAUGAAUUUCGCCUGAGGAUGAGCUCGCGUCUGAUUAGCUAGUUGGUGUAGGUAAUGGCUCACCAAGGCGUCGAUCAGUAGCUGGUCUGAGAGGAUGAUCAGCCACACUGGGACUGAGACACGGCCCAGACUCCUACGGGAGGCAGCAGUGGGGAAUUUUCCGCAAUGGGCGAAAGCCUGACGGAGCAACGCCGCGUGAGGGAUGAAGGCCUCUGGGCUGUAAACCUCUUUUCUCAAGGAAGAAGAUCUGACGGUACUUGAGGAAUAAGCCACGGCUAAUUCCGUGCCAGCAGCCGCGGUAAUAC
rnacentral:rRNA from 1 species